rnacentral:rRNA from 1 species
AACGCCGCGUGAGGGAUGAAGGCCUUCGGGUCGUAAACCUCUGUCGGAGGGGAAGAAAGGUGCCCGGUCGAACAGGCCGGGGGCUUGACGGUACCCUCAAAGGAAGCGCCGGCUAACUCCGUGCCAGCAACGGCGGUGACUGAGCGGGCUGGCAAGGCGCAUA